rnacentral:rRNA from 1 species
UACGGGGGGAGCAAGCGUUUGUUCGGAUUUACUGGGCGUAAAGGGCGCGUAGGCGGUCGUGACAAGUCACUUGUGAAAUCUCCGGGCUUAACUCGGAACGGUCAAGUGAUACUGUCGGACUAGAGUACAGAAGGGGCAACUGGAAUUCCUGGUGGUAGCGGUGAAAUGCGCAGAUAUCAGGAGGAACACCGGUGGCGAAGGCGGGUCUCUGGGCCGAUACUGACGCUGAGGAGCGAAAGCGUGGGGAGCGAACAGG